rnacentral:rRNA from 1 species
AAGUUCAAGCUCCGAUUGUGAGGGCGAAACCGCGAAUGGCUCAUUAAAUCAGUCAUAAUCUACUUGAUGAGGUUAGAUGGAUAACUGUGGUAAUUCUAGAGCUAAUACAUGUCGAGGAGAGCGAUUGGCAAAAGUUCCGCGUUUAUUAGACUAAGACCAGCGUCCCUCGGGACAAAUUGAAGGUGACUCUGAGUAAAUAACGGGUGCAAGCCCGUGAAGCCGACCUGGCACUCAAACCGUCGGCGGGCGAAUCAAUCGAGUGUCUGCUCUAUCAACUGUGGAUGGUAGGGUAAUUGCCUACCAUGGUGAUGACGGGUAACGGGGAGUUAGGGCUCGACUCCGGAGAACAAGCCUGAGAAACGGCUAGUAGGACUAAGGUCUGCAGCAGGCGCGAAACUUACACAAUGCUAGAUUUCAAUUAGCGAUGUAGUGAAGAAAAAUAACGAUGUGCUUGCAUUUAAAGAUGCUUGCACAAUUGGAAUGAGACGACUCUAAACCGGUCAGUCGAGUAACAAAUGGAGGGCAAGUCUGGUGCCAGCAGCCGCGGUAAUUCCAGCUCCAUUAGCAUACAUUAAAGUUGUUGCGGUUAAAAAGCUCGUAGUUGAAUGUAGUGGUUGUUUGGGUUAUAUGUAGGCGUUAAGCGGCCUGUCGUGUCUGCAUACUCAAUAGCUAGUUUCGUCACUUAAUCGAGUGCGAAGCAGGUUUGGUUUCCGGACGCAAGUCACACUCAACAGGUUUACCUUGAGAAAAUCAGAGUGCUCAGAGCAGGCAGUUGGGGUGUAAAACCUCUUUAUGCUUGAAUGAUGUUGCAUGGAAUAAUAGAAUACGGCCUCGGUUCUAUUCUGUUGGUCUUAUAGAACAACAAACAAGUUGGUGUCGUCACUGAGGCGUGGGAUUGGUUGUUUGGUGGAGGGACUUGUUGUCUGGCGGUAAAAUUUCAGUCCAACCAACCUCAGACUAAAAAGCACCCUCCCCAUGCCAGACUUUCCAACUGAGGCAAUGGUUAAAAGAAAUAGUCGCGGCGGCAUCAGUACUGCGAGAGGUGAAAUUCUUAGACCGAUGCAAGACUAACUGAAGCGAAAGCGUUUGCCGAGGAUAUUUUCAUUAAUCAAGAACGAAAGUUAGAGGUUCGAAGGCGAUCAGAUACCGCCCUAGUUCUAACCAUAAACGUUGCCAACUAGCAAUUGGGUUGCGAUUCCUUUAGUGGGCGCCUAAAAAACGUCCACCAUUAUGAUCCACCCAGCGGCUCUCGUAGGGAAACCAAAGUGUUUGGGUUCCGGGGGAAGUAUGAUUGCAAAGUUGAAACUUAAAGGAAUUGACGGAAGGGCACCACCAGGAGUGGAGCCUGCGGCUUAAUUUGACUCAACACGGGGAAACUUACUAGAUUAGAACUCUGGAAUGAUUGACAGAUUGAUAGCUCUUUCUUGAUUCAGAGGAUGGUGGUGCAUGGCCGUUCUUGAUUCGUAUUCCGAAACGUCUGCUUAAUUGCGAUAACGAGUGAGACCUCACCCAACUAACUAGUGCGCGGUUGCGUUGUUGGGCAUUAAGUGCGGCCAAGUGUUGUUGGGUGGCAACAUCAAAUAGCACUCCAUGCGAUGCUUCUUCUCGACCCGUGACUUCUUAAAGGGAUAACGGUGUUUUACCGUAAGAAACGAGGCAAUAACAGGUCUGUGAUGCCCUUAGAUAUUCUAGGCCGCACGCGUGCUACAAUGGCGUGUGCAGAGAGCUUGUUCGAGGUUCGUCCAGAGAGAACUAGCGGUUUGGUUGGUUGGCGGGGCAACUCGUGCCGGUCGAUCGUCAAGUGACUCUGGCGGGCCGAGAGAAACCGCGGCCGAAAGGUCGCGGCAAUCAGAAAUACACGCCGUGAUUUGGGAUUGGGGAUUGCAAUUGUUGCCCAUGAACGAGGAAUUCCCAGUAAGCGCGAUUCAUCAUAUCGCGUUGAUUACGUCCCUGCCCUUUGUACACACCGCCCGUCGCUACUACCGAUUGGAAGUUUUAGUGAGGCAUCUGGACUCGCCGGCCACGGGAGGAAUCCUUCGGCUGGAGGGGAAGUUUGUCGAACUCAAAUUUCUAGAGGAAGUAAAAGUCGUAACAAGGUUUCCGU